rnacentral:rRNA from 1 species
AUUGAACGCUGGCGGCAUGCCUUACACAUGCAAGUCGAAACGGCGGCGCCGGGGCAACCUGGCGGCGAGUGGCGAACGGGUGAGUAAUAUAUCGGAACGUACCCUGGAGUGGGGGAUAACGUAGCGAAAGUUACGCUAAUACCGCAUACGAUCUAAGGAUGAAAGUGGGGGAUGCGCAAGCACCUCAUGCUCCUGGAGCGGCCGAUAUCUGAUUAGCUAGUUGGUGGGGUAAAGGCCUACCAAGGCAUCGAUCAGUAGCUGGUCUGAGAGGACGACCAGCCACACUGGAACUGAGACACGGUCCAGACUCCUACGGGAGGCAGCAGUGGGGAAUUUUGGACAAUGGGCGAAAGCCUGAUCCAGCAAUGCCGCGUGAGUGAAGAAGGCCUUCGGGUUGUAAAGCUCUUUUGUCAGGGAAGAAACGGUGAAGGCUAAUAUCCUUUGCUAAUGACGGUACCUGAAGAAUAAGCACCGGCUAACUACGUGCCAGCAGCCGCGGUAAUACGUAGGGUGCAAGCGUUAAUCGGAAUUACUGGGCGUAAAGCGUGCGCAGGCGGUUUUGUAAGUCUGUCGUGAAAUCCCCGGGCUCAACCUGGGAAUUGCGAUGGAGACUGCAAGGCUAGAAUCUGGCAGAGGGGGGUAGAAUUCCACGUGUAGCAGUGAAAUGCGUAGAGAUGUGGAGGAACACCGAUGGCGAAGGCAGCCCCCUGGGUCAAGAUUGACGCUCAUGCACGAAAGCGUGGGGAGCAAACAGGAUUAGAUACCCUGGUAGUCCACGCCCUAAACGAUGUCUACUAGUUGUCGGGUUUUAAUUAACUUGGUAACGCAGCUAACGCGUGAAGUAGACCGCCUGGGGAGUACGGUCGCAAGAUUAAAACUCAAAGGAAUUGACGG